UACGGAGGGGGCGAGCGUUAUUCGGAAUUAUUGGGCGUAAAGGGCGCGUAGGCGGCUGUACAAGUCAAAGGUGAAAUCCCCUCGGCUCAACUGAGGAACUGCCUUUGAAACUGUACGGCUUGAGGCCGGGAGGGGGUAGCGGAAUUCCCAGUGUAGCGGUGAAAUGCGUAGAUACUGGGAGGAACACCAGUGGCGAAGGCGGCUACCUGGACGAUAACUGACGCUGAGACGCGAAAGCGUGGGUAGCAAACAGG
rnacentral:rRNA from 1 species